rnacentral:rRNA from 1 species
GCAGUCGCCACGGUAAUACAGAGGGUGCGAGCGUUAAUCGGAUUUACUGGGCGUAAAGCGUGCGUAGGCGGCUUUUUAAGUCGGAUGUGAAAUCCCUGAGCUUAACUUAGGAAUUGCAUUCGAUACUGGGAAGCUAGAGUAUGGGAGAGGAUGGUAGAAUUCCAGGUGUAGCGGUGAAAUGCGUAGAGAUCUGGAGGAAUACCGAUGGCGAAGGCAGCCAUCUGGCCUAAUACUGACGCUGAGGUACGAAAGCAUGGGGAGCAAACAGGAUUAGAUACCCCUGUAGUCCCUGUCUCUUAUAC